UACGUAGGGUGCGAGCGUUGUCCGGAAUUAUUGGGCGUAAAGAGCUCGUAGGCGGUCUGUCGCGUCGGCUGUGAAAACCCGAGGCUCAACCUCGGGCCUGCAGUCGAUACGGGCAGACUAGAGUGCUGUAGGGGAGACUGGAAUUCCUGGUGUGAGCGGUGAAAUGCGCAGAUAUCAGGCAGAACACCUGGGCGAAGGCGGCCGGCUGGGCCGACCCUGACGCUGGAGGCGCGAAGGCGUGGGAGCGAACGGG
rnacentral:rRNA from 1 species